UCUUUUUAUCGGUUCUCAUAGUCAAAAGAAAAAGUAGGGUGUCUCUUUGUAGAUUUUUUGCCUUCGCUUUCAGACCUGAUAGUCAUUAUGUCAUGAUGCACUCCCCCCUAGUUACCUUUAUUCUGAAAUGGGUUUCUUCACCUGUAAGUCAUUAGGUUCUUCAUCUGAAUCUAAACUCAAAAUGAACUUCCCAACUUUAUUUUUCUGAGGAUGAAGAUUAGACUUCUUUAACCGAAGAAUUCAGGAUCAACGAUUGAACUGCUUUGCCUCCUCUCUCCAAAAUUCAGCUUCAAAGACCCGCAACCGGAAAGAACUGCGUAUUCGCCACCAGUGAUUUCUACUCGUUUCAUCCAGCGAUCGACGAAUUCUGCUCGCUUCAUUCAGGCCAGUGGCAGAGGCGAUAUUUUCUGCUGGUACGUUCAAUCUUCGGUUUAUUGCAAGUUGUUCACGAUUCCUAUGUACAAUUUGUACAGGUGUGCAGAUGAAAAGCUAUUGUUUUUGUUUGUUUUAUGA
rnacentral:lncRNA from 1 species